rnacentral:rRNA from 1 species
GAUGAACGCUGGCGGCGUGCCUAAUACAUGCAAGUCGAGCGAACAGACGAGGAGCUUGCUCCUCUGACGUUAGCGGCGGACGGGUGAGUAACACGUGGAUAACCUACCUAUAAGACUGGGAUAACUUCGGGAAACCGGAGCUAAUACCGGAUAAUAUAUUGAACCGCAUGGUUCAAUAGUGAAAGACGGUUUUGCUGUCACUUAUAGAUGGAUCCGCGCCGCAUUAGCUAGUUGGUAAGGUAACGGCUUACCAAGGCAACGAUGCGUAGCCGACCUGAGAGGGUGAUCGGCCGCACUGGAACUGCGACGCGGUCCAGACUCCUACGGUAGGCAGCAGUAGGGAAUCUUCCGCAAUGGGCGAAAUCCUGACGGAGCAACGCCGCGUGAGUGAUGGAGGUCUUCGGAUCGUAAAACUCUGUUAUUAGGGAAGAACAAAUGUGUAAGUAACUAUGCACGUCUUGACGGUACCUAAUCAGAAAGCCACGGCUAACUACGUG